rnacentral:rRNA from 1 species
UACGUAGGGUCCAAGCGUUGUCCGGAAUUAUUGGGCGUAAAGAGCUCGUAGGCGGUCUGUCGCGUCGGAUGUGAAAACCCAGGGCUCAACCCUGGGCCUGCAUUCGAUACGGGCAGACUAGAGUUCGGAAGGGGAAAGUGGAAUUCCGGGUGUAGUGGUGGAAUACGUAGAUAUCCGGAGGAACACCAGCGGCGAAGGCGGCUUUCUGGUCCGAUUCUGACGCUGAGGCGCGAAAGCGUGGGGAGCGAUCCGG